CCUAAAGAAAAUGAAAACACUAAUUCGAAAAGUUAUAUGCACCCCUAUUUCAUUGCAGCAUUAUUUACAAUAGCCAAGAUAUGGAAAAAACCUAA